GAACUAUGGCUCAGUGGUAGAGCUUCUGCUUUGUCUGCAGAAGGUCCCAGGUUCAAUCCCCGCAUCACCA
rnacentral:tRNA from 1 species